UACGAAGGGGGCUAGCGUUGCUCGGAAUUACUGGGCGUAAAGGGCGCGUAGGCGGCACUGUUAGUCAGGCGUGAAAGUCCUGGGCUCAACCUGGGAACUGCGCUUGAUACGGCAGAGCUAGAGGAUGGAAGAGGCUCGCGGAAUUCCCAGUGUAGAGGUGAAAUUCGUAGAUAUUGGGAAGAACACCGGUGGCGAAGGCGGCGAUCUGGGUCGAUACUGACGCUGAGGUGCGAAAGCGUGGGGAGCAAACAGG
rnacentral:rRNA from 1 species